rnacentral:rRNA from 1 species
ACGAAGGGGGCUAGCGUUGUUCGGAAUUACUGGGCGUAAAGCGUGCGCAGGCGGUUUCUCAAGUCAGGGGUGAAAGCCCGGAGCUCAACUCCGGAAUUGCCUUUGAAACUGUGAAGCUAGAGUGCGGGAGAGGUGAGUGGAAUUCCCAGUGUAGAGGUGAAAUUCGUGGAUAUUGGGAAGAACACCGGUGGCGAAGGCGGCUCACUGGCCCGUUUCUGACGCUCAUGCACGACAGCGUGGGGAUCAAACAGGA